rnacentral:rRNA from 1 species
GUGAACGCUGGCGGUAGGCCUAACACAUGCAAGUCGAACGGCAGCACAGUAAGAGCUUGCUCUUACGGGUGGCGAGUGGCGGACGGGUGAGGAAUACAUCGGAAUCUACUUUUUCGUGGGGGAUAACGUAGGGAAACUUACGCUAAUACCGCAUACGACCUACGGGUGAAAGCAGGGGAUCUUCGGACCUUGCGCGAUUGAAUGAGCCGAUGUCGGAUUAGCUAGUUGGCGGGGUAAAGGCCCUCCAAGGCGACGAUCCGUAGCUGGUCUGAGAGGAUGAUCAGCCACACUGGAACUGAGACACGGUCCAGACUCCUACGGGAGGCAGCAGUGGGGAAUAUUGGACAAUGGGCGCAAGCCUGAUCCAGCCAUACCGCGUGGGUGAAGAAGGCCUUCGGGUUGUAAAGCCCUUUUGUUGGGAAAGAAAAGCAGCAGGUUAAUACCCCGCUGUUCUGACGGUACCCAAAGAAUAAGCACCGGCUAACUUCGU